UCAGGAUUUGUGCCAUUCUGUGAGGCU
rnacentral:piRNA from 1 species